rnacentral:rRNA from 1 species
AGUGGCGAACGGGUGAGUAAUGUAUCGGAACGUGCCCUAGAGUGGGGGAUAACGUAGCGAAAGUUACGCUAAUACCGCAUACGAUCUACGGAUGAAAGUGGGGGACCGCAAGGCCUCACGCUCAUGGAGCGGCCGAUAUCUGAUUAGCUGGUUGGUAGGGUAAAAGCCUACCAAGGCGACGAUCAGUAGCUGGUCUGAGAGGACGACCAGCCACACUGGGACUGAGACACGGCCCAGACUCCUACGGGAGGCAGCAGUGGGGAAUUUUGGACAAUGGGGGAAACCCUGAUCCAGCAAUGCCGCGUGUGUGAGGAAGGCCUUCGGGUUGUAAAGCACUUUUGUCAGGAACGAAACGGUGGGGGCUAAUAUCCUCUGCUAAUGACGGUACCUGAAGAAUAAGCACCGGCUAACUACGUGCCAGCAGCCGCGGUAAUACGUAGGGAGCGAGCGUUAAUCGGAAUUACUGGGCGUAAAGCGUGCGCAGGCGGUUGUGCAAGACAGAUGUGAAAUCCCCGGGCUUAACCUGGGAAUUGCAUUUGUGACUGCACGGCUAGAGUGUGUCAGAGGGGGGUAGAAUUCCACGUGUAGCAGUGAAAUGCGUAGAUAUGUGGAGGAAUACCGAUGGCGAAGGCAGCCCCCUGGGAUAACACUGACGCUCAUGCACGAAAGCGUGGGGAGCAAACAGGAUUAGAUACCCUGG